UACAGAGGGUGCAAGCGUUAAUCGGAUUACUGGGCGUAAAGCGUGCGUAGACGGUUACAUAAGUCGGGUGUGAAAGCCCCGGGCUCAACCUGGGAAUUGCAUUCGAGACUGCGUAGCUAGGGUGCGGAAGAGGGAAGCGGAAUUUCCGGUGUAGCGGUGAAAUGCGUAGAUAUCGGAAGGAACACCAGUGGCGAAAGCGGCUUCCUGGUCCAGCACCGACGUUCAGGCACGAAAGCGUGGGAGCAAACAGG
rnacentral:rRNA from 1 species